UCCUACGGGAGGCAGCAGUAGGGAAUCUUCCGCAAUGGGCGAAAGCCUGACGGAGCAACGCCGCGUGAGUGAUGAAGGGUUUCGGCUCGUAAAACUCUGUUAUUAGGGAAGAACAAACGUGUAAGUAACUGUGCACGUCUUGACGGUACCUAAUCAGAAAGCCACGGCUAACUACGUGCCAGCAGCCGCGGUAAUAC
rnacentral:rRNA from 1 species